GAUGAACGCUAGCGGCAGGCCUAACACAUGCAAGUCGUACGGUAACAGGGAAAAGCUUGCUUUUCCGCUGACGAGUGGCGCACGGGUGCGCAACGCGUAUAGAACCUACCCUGUACAGGGAGAUAGCCCAUGGAAACGUGGAUUAAUACCCCGUAGAGACAAGAAUUGGCAUCGAUUUUUGUUUAAAGCUUCGGCGGUACGGGAUGGCUAUGCGUCCCAUAGUUAGUAGGCGAGGUAACGGCUCACCUAGGCAAUGAUGGGUAGGGGCCCUGAGAGGGGGAUCCCCCACACUGGUACUGAGACACGGACCAGACUCCUACGGGAGGCAGCAGUGAGGAAUAUUGGACAAUGGGCGCAAGCCUGAUCCAGCCAUGCCGCGUGCAGGAAGACAGCCCUACGGGUUGUAAACUGCUUUUAUACGGGAAGAAUAAGGGGUACGUGUACCCCGAUGACGGUACCGUAAGAAUAAGGACCGGCUAACUCCGUGCCAGCAGCCGCGGUAAUACGGAGGGUCCGAGCGUUAUCCGGAAUCAUUGGGUUUAAAGGGUCCGCAGGCGGGCAAUUAAGUCAGGGGUGAAAUGGUGCGGCUCAACCGUAGCACUGCCCUUGAUACUGGUUGUC
rnacentral:rRNA from 1 species